GAGAAAUAAUUAUUCCUUGUAUCAGUGUUAAAAGAGUCAACAAGCUUCAAAAAGCUUGCUUGGGGAACCUCCUCCAAAGCAGAAUGCGUUCCCGAGGAGUUGGGCCUAGCAAUAUGGCAGCGCACGUUCCAUAGGAAACCCUGCAGAAUGCUGCUGAGCUCUGUUCCCAAGGAGGGCACAAUCCCUGCCCCGCUCCAGCCUCCACCACUGCAGGGACUGAGUUUUCUCCCC